rnacentral:rRNA from 1 species
UACAGAGGGUGCAAGCGUUAAUCGGAAUUACUGGGCGUAAAGGGCGCGUAGGUGGGUUAUUAAGUCAGAUGUGAAAGCCCUGGGCUUAACCUGGGAAUGGCAUUUGAUACUGAUAGUCUAGAGUGAAGCAGAGGGUGGCGGAAUUUCCGGUGUAGCGGUGAAAUGCGUAGAUAUCGGAAGGAACACCAGUGGCGAAGGCGGCCACCUGGGCUUUAACUGACACUGAGGCGCGAAAGCGUGGGGAGCGAACAGG